rnacentral:rRNA from 1 species
GACGAACGCUGGCGGCGUGCUUAACACAUGCAAGUCGAACGGAAAGGCCUCUUUCGGGGGGUACUCGAGUGGCGAACGGGUGAGUAACACGUGAGUAACCUGCCCUUGACUUUGGGAUAACUUCAGGAAACUGGGGCUAAUACCGGAUAGGAGCUCCUGCUGCAUGGUGGGGGUUGGAAAGUUUCGGCGGUUGGGGAUGGACUCGCGGCUUAUCAGCUUGUUGGUGGGGUAGUGGCUUACCAAGGCUUUGACGGGUAGCCGGCCUGAGAGGGUGACCGGCCACAUUGGGACUGAGAGACGGCCCAGACUCCUACGGGAGGCAGCAGUGGGGAAGAUUGCACAAUGGGUGGAAGCCUGAUGCAGCAACGCCGGGGGCGGGAUGACGGCCUUCGGGUUGUAAACCGCUUUCGCUCAUGACGAAGCUUUGUGUGACGGUAGUGGGUAAAGAAGCACCGGCUAACUACGUG